UGGGGAAUAUUGCACAAUGGGCGCAAGCCUGAUGCAGCCAUGCCGCGUGUAUGAAGAAGGCCUUCGGGUUGUAAAGUACUUUCAGUCGGGAGGAAGGUGGUAAGGUUAAUAACCUUAUCAAUUGACGUUACCGACAGAAGAAGCACCGGCUAACUCCGUGCCAGCAGCCGCGGUAAUACGGAGGGUGCAAGCGUUAAUCGGAAUUACUGGGCGUAAAGCGCACGCAGGCGGUUGAUUGAGUCAGAUGUGAAAUCCCCGGGCUUAACCCGGGAAUUGCAUCUGAAACUGGUCAGCUAGAGUCUUGUAGAGGGGGGUAGAAUUCCAUGUGUAGCGGUGAAAUGCGUAGAGAUGUGGAGGAAUACCGGUGGCGAAGGCGGCCCCCUGGACAAAGACUGACGCUCAGGUGCGAAAGCGUGGGGAGCAAACAGG
rnacentral:rRNA from 1 species